GUCCAAAAACGCUGACGACUACGAAGCCUUGGACUUCUGGAGGGCGCUGGACAGUGGCACUGUCAGAAAAGUGUUCUAUUUCAACGGAAAGGAGAACGACCGGGGCCUAGCAGAGGGGCGUGAUUGCUGCUGGCGCCGGAGUAGCCUGGAGAUGCCAGAAUGCAGGAUGUCACCCAUCAAUAACUGAGGCACCGCAAUUCCCCACGCAGGGCCGUGUGGGACGGCCCUCCACCGGAGCGUGACGCGGGCGGGCCCAGACCCCGAGGGCAAGCCCCUCCACAGCCCACUCUCGCUUCCAGCCCCGCCACUCCCCUCCACGCGCGUCUGCUCCCCGGCCCGCAGCGUCUUCUGCGCACACAGAUCCUCUGUGUUGAUAGAGUGCCGAGACUGGACUCAUCUGCCCGAAUACUACGUCGCCCGCCCGCGAAUCCACGUGUUUAUCCACUGGGCGAGGGGAACGCAGCACGCCGCGAGGUUCUGUCGGGCUCGGGAAGCCGUGGGCGCUGCUCCCGUGGGACUGCCUUACUCCAUGCACACGGAAAAAUCAGACUGUAUUAUUAAGAGAAGUGCAUAUUGAGAGUCGGCAAAUUGCUUCUCUGGAUUGGGGUUUCCUCGCCUGUAGGACAGAAAUGAUCGUGAUAAUAAUAAUAAUGCCCCCAGGUCUUGUGUGAGUAUACAAUGUAAAAUAAAUGGAGAUUAGGCUGGCGCGGCGGCUCACUAGGCUAAUCCUCCGCCCUGCGGCGCCGGCACACCGGAUUCUGUCCCGGUUGCCCCUCUUCCAGGCCAGCUCUCUGCUGUGGCCAGGGAGUGCAGUGGAGGAUGGCCCAAGUGCUUGGGCCCUGCACUCCAUGGGAGACCAGGAAAAAGCACCUGGCUCCUGGCUCCUGCCAUCGGAUCAGCGCGGUACGCCAGCAGCGGCAGCCAUUGGAGGGUGAACCAACGGCAAAGGAAGACCUUUCUCUCUGUCUCUCUCUCUCACUAUCCACUCUGCCUGUCAAAAAAAAAAUUAAAAAAAAAAUGGAGAUUUAAAAUUGUUUCUCAAAAGACUUGGGGUUGGGCAUUUAGACUAGUGGUUAAGACCUACCCCUCCCACCCCCGCCCAAGUCAGGGGCCUGAGUUGUAGUGCAGGGGGCUAAGCCACUACCUGGGACCCCAGCAUGCCACAGUCCAAGGAGCCCCGCUUCAAGUUCUGGCUGCUUCCGCUUCUGAUUCAGCUCCGAGCUCCUAUGUCUGACUCCUUGCUUCCAGGCCAUUUGGGGGAGUGAACCAGCGGCAGAUGGAAGAUUUUUAUCUCUCUGUCUCUAUCUAAUGCUCUUCCUUCUUAAAAAAAAAAAAAAAAAAUUCCAAGUCCCACACCAGCGUGCCUGAAUUCCAUUCCUGGUUCUGGUUCCUGACUCCAGCGUCCUGAUACAGACCCUGGGGGGCAUUGGUGAUGGCUCAAGUACUUGGGUUCCUGACACCAUUGUGGGAGGCCUGCAUUGCUUUCCUGACUUGGCCUAGACCCUGCUUCCCCACUCCUAUUGCGGGCAUUUGGGGAAUGAGCCAGUUAAUGGGAGUGCUGCCUCUCUCUCUCUCUCUCUUCCUCUCCCUCUCAAAUAAAUAAAACAGACAAGACUUGGA